GUUUGUUUUGCCAGAACUUAUACUAAAAUUGGUCCACUACAGAGAGUAUUAACUUGGCCCCUUUGGAAGGAUGACAUGCACAUUCGUGAAACAUCCCAUAUGCAU